rnacentral:rRNA from 1 species
AGCUCCAAUAGCGUAUAUUAAAGUUGUUGCAGUUAAAAAGCUCGUAGUUGGAUUUCUGACAAGGGUAAUCGGUCCGAACCUUCGGGUUCGUGUACUUGGUUUUCCCUAGUCAUCCUUAUAGAGAACAUGCAUGGCAUUAGUUUGCCGAGUAUGGGACCUAUAUCAUUUACUGUGAAAAAAUUAGAGUGUUCAAAGCAGGCAAUCGCUGUGAAUAUAUUAGCAUGGAAUAAUAAGAUAGGACUUUGGUACUAUUUUGUUGGUUUGCAUACCAAGGUAAUGAUUAAGAGGGACAGUUGGGGGUAUUCGUAUUUAAUUGUCAGAGGUGAAAUUCUUGGAUUUAUGAAAGACGAACUACUGCGAAAGCAUUUACCAAGGAUGUUUUCA